rnacentral:rRNA from 1 species
AGAACGAACGCUGGCGGCAGGCUUAACACAUGCAAGUCGAACGGUUGUAGCAAUACAGCAGUGGCGCACGGGUGAGUAACGCGUGGGAACAUACCUUAGAGUUCGGAAUAACAGCGGGAAACUGCUGCUAAUACCGGAUAUUCUCUCCGGAGGAAAGAUUUAUCGCUCUAAGAUUGGCCCGCGUCAGAUUAGCUAGUUGGUGGGGUAAUGGCCUACCAAGGCUCCGAUCUGUAGCUGGUCUGAGAGGACGACCAGCCACACUGGAACUGAGACACGGUCCAGACUCCUACGGGAGGCAGCAGUGGGGAAUAUUGGACAAUGGGCGAAAGCCUGAUCCAGCCAUGCCGCGUGAGUGAUGAAGGCCUUAGGGUUGUAAAGCUCUUUUGUCAGGGAAGAUAAUGACGGUACCUGAAGAAUAAGCACCGGCUAACUUCGUGCCAGCAGCCGC